rnacentral:tRNA from 1 species
AGGCGCGUAGCUCAGCUGGUUAGAGCACUAGCUCGACAUGCUAGGGGUCGUCGGUUCGAGUCCGACCGUGCCUACCA